ACGGGAGGCAGCAGUGAGGAAUAUUGGUCAAUGGGCGGAAGCCUGAACUAGCCAAGUCGCGUGAAGGAUGAAGGUAUUAUGUAUUGUAAACUUCUUUAGCUGUGGAGCAAUAAUCUCCAUGUAUGGAGAGAUGAGAGUACACAGAGAAUAAGGAUCGGCUAACUCCGUGCCAGCAGCCGCGGUAAUACGGAGGAUCCGAGCGUUAUCCGGAUUUAUUGGGUUUAAAGGGUGCGCAGGCGGCUUUCUAAGUCAGUGGUCAAAUCGUGGUGCUCACCGCCAUCCCGCCAUUGAUACUGGAGAGCUUGAUUGCGGUCGAGGUUUGCGGAAUUCGUCGUGUAGCGGUGAAAUGCAUAGAUAUGACGAAGAACACCGAUUGCGUAGGCAGCAGACCAGGCCGUAAAUGACGCUCAUGCACGAAAGUGCGGGGAUCGAACAGGAUUAGAUACCCUGGUA
rnacentral:rRNA from 1 species